AUGUACCACUCGUACACUCCGGUUCCUGUGCGCCGCCCGCACCCGCCUGACGACUGCUCGCCACCAUAUGCGAUGC
rnacentral:sRNA from 1 species